rnacentral:rRNA from 1 species
AUGGAUAAAAAGAUCGAAGUGCGCACAGAGUCAAAGGAAGGUUUGCUUCGCAGUAUCAGUUGUUCUUGCCGCAAAUUGGAAUGCUCAGGCACAUCAUGUUCCCACAUAUUUUACAUAUUGGGAAUUUUACAAGAAGAAACACUGCCCAGGUGUUGUGUUCCCACUAGGUGGACAAUGAGUGCAAAAUGUGCAUUUGCACCGACCAGAAAGAGCGAGAUGUAUGCAUACUCUGCAGCCCUACAAAGGUACCGUAAGCUAAGGAAUUUUAGUCACGCUCCAUGUUUCAAGGCAUGCCACUUUGAUGAGGCGUUUUAG